rnacentral:rRNA from 1 species
UACGGAGGGUGCAAGCGUUAAUCGGAAUUACUGGGCGUAAAGGGUGCGUAGGUGGUUUGUUAAGUUAGUUGUGAAAUUCCCGGGCUCAACCUGGGCACUGCAACUAAGACUGUUAGACUCGAGUAUGGGAGAGGGUAGUGGAAUUUCCGGUGUAGCGGUGAAAUGCGUAGAGAUCGGAAGGAACACCAGUGGCGAAGGCGGCUACCUGGCCUAAUACUGACACUGAGGCACGAAAGCGUGGGGAGCAAACAGG